GGCUAUUUCGUUGGUGCCCAGGCCUCCGCAGAGGUUGGGCCUCACUCUGUGAGGAGGAAAGGUCACCCAGCCACCUACCCACCCAAACAACAAGGAAGGGAAAGAAGAUGGCUUUGUAAGGUUCAGGAUUCCCAGGAGAAGGGGAUGUUCCCACUUUCUGUCCAGAUUCUCUGCAAAAGACAGCAAGAUGCCCCAGGGAAUGUUUCUGGAAAGGAUCAGUGGAUGGAAAGGAAGCCAAAGAAUGCCAUCAUCAUUGAUUGAAGAUGUUGUUUCCCUGAGCCCGCCGACUAAGGAAGGCAUUCUAGAAGGCUCUGCCCUCUGUCUUAAUCCGUUUGGGCUUCUAAAACAAAACAAAGACUAGGUGGUUUACAAACAACAGAAGUUUAUUUCUCACAGCGUCUGGAGGCUGGGAAGUUCAAGAUCAAGGCACCAACUGACCCAGUGCUCAGUUCAGAGCUUCUUGCUUUGUCUUCUCAUGGUAAGAGGGUCUCUUGACUCCCCCAUGAGGCCACAAAUUGGGA
rnacentral:lncRNA from 1 species